rfam:Nematostella vectensis strain CH2 x CH6 NEMVEscaffold_21_Cont3952, whole genome shotgun sequence.
CCUUGACGAGAAUCUGAUACGGUUCCAAUCAGACCGGAGGGGAAAGACGCUAGUACAGGUUCGCAACC